rnacentral:lncRNA from 13 species
AGAACUGAGGUUGGGCUUUAUGAACUCCAUAAUUAUUCUCUGAAUCAAUCACAAAUGCAGUCUGAUUCUUGAUUAGGUAAGUUGAAAUUG